CCCUUAGAUGUUCUGGGCCGCACGCGUGCUACACUGAGUGGAUCAGCGGGUCAGGUUGCGCGAAAGCGUUUCCUAAUCUUUAAAUCCGCUCGUGAUGGGGAUUGACGGUUGCAAUUUUCUGUCAUGAACGAGGAAUACCUUGUAAGCGCGGGUCAUCAUCCCGCGCUGAAUACGUCCCUGCCCUUUGUACACACCGCCCGUCGCUCCUACCGAUUGAGUGGCCCGGUGAAGCCUCGGGAUUGUGGUUCUUGCCGCUUUAUUGUGGCGUGACCGCGAGAACUUGUCUAAACCUUAUCAUCUAGAGGAAGGUGAAGUCGUAACA
rnacentral:rRNA from 1 species